AGAGAAUGGAUUAUAGACAGUCGUUUUGAUUAGUGUUGGUGAGAAGAUUAUUAUUUGCUGGAGUAGAAACUGUUUAAUAUGAUUCUUAGGCGAUAAUAGAACUAUAAUCCUCUUCUUGAUUUUAGCAAGAAACACCAAGCCUCUGAUAACUGCCUGGUUUUUGCAGAUGUACAAUGAUAUAAACCAUUCUGCUUUUGUUUGGGGAGCGUUUGUUUUAGCCGGAGUUGCUAUCAUUGCUGCUGCUGUGGGUUACUGGCGUAGGAAUAAGUACGAAGAUGGAUACCAACCAAUUAUGAUCUGAACUUGUUCUUAUGAGGCUUAGCCAUGUGUAUUAGACAGAAAUAAUGUUAGCUCUGUAUCAUAUGUUCUGAAACUCUCGUUUCCCUUUGCUAGAUGAGCGUGAAUAAACAGAUGAGCGUGAAUAAACCCGGGAGACUCACAGUCUUGCCCAAUAUUAUUUCUAUUACUGUUGUUAGUAAUUGGAACUGAGUGAUUAAUGUGAGCCUCUGUUGGACUUUAUGGCCAUUUCUUUCAUUUUCUCUACGACUCCUGUAGCUGCUUGUGUUCAACGCUAUUUUCACAUUUGUAAGGGACCUGUCCAAAAUUCAAAGCAUUAUUGGGUCGCUAUUUCCUGUGGCAGCUGCCAAGUUUGAGUAUCUUCGACUUAGAGGAACCACAUAUGUUACUUUUUUUUGAAAAAAAAAUUCAUUUCAUGUUUUUAGUCUGCAUGUGUGUUAUUUAAUAAUAAUCGUUGAAAGAACUGUUUUAAAUAUUUUACUUCAUCAUAGUUUCUCCUACAAUUAUGGAUCUCUGUUUCCUAGUUUUCCCCUUCUCAAACGAUCUAUAUACACGGUAAGCUCAAAGUAUGCAUGCUUCGUCAUAUAUUUAACACAAGUGUGCAUAUUGCAACUAAUAUUUUGGGAUGCAUCACACAAUAAUUUUACAAUAUAUCCAUCGUGCUUUGUGACAUUACCUUUGACUUUAUCAAUUGCAUUGUUACCAGAGAUAGUGCAUUAUUAACUAUGAUACUGUAAAGAAUUCAAUUUGAAAUCAAAUUAACAAUCGACAAUGAAUCAUAAUAUGGUCAAAUAAAAAAUAAAGAGAUACGUACUAGCUUUGAAAUGGGAAAAUAAAUAAUGAACGAAUGAUUUAGUUUUUUUUUUUCCAAAUUCUCUUUUAUGUUUAUUACUGUUGGGUUGCCCCUCUGGAAAAAUUCAUAGGUCCGGUUCAGAAAUGCAAAAUACAAUAGUAAUCACAUGGGGGUUUAAUGCAAAUAUGCAGUGAAGGAGGCACUAUGCAGAUUGUCAAUGAAUAAUGGGAAGAUGAAAUUUACGUAUAAAGGUGAACUAUUGGCACCCUUUGCGUAUCUUUUGAAACCCCUUUUCUUUAUCUAUCUCAUUAUAAUUAUUUGAAAAUUAUAAAACUCUCAUGGCAUCGUUUUAGUUUAAAAAAUAACCUUAAUUUCUUGUUGAGUUUACACCCCCUUCUUUCUCUUCACAUCUCUCUCCCCCUCAUUUGCUUACCAUUCUUUCCUCUCUCUUUCUCUUCCACUAUGAGUUCUCUCCGUCGUCAACUCUUUUUAUGGUGAUGAACAAAUUGGACUUUAUGACCAUAACAUUAUAAUUAUUAAUAUAUAUAUAUAUAUAUAUAAUAAUAAUAAUAAUAAUAAUAAAGAUUCAAUGAGAAUGAUGCAAUUGAUUGGUAUUCUUGAUUUUUUUUUUUUUGCUUCUUUAACUAAACUUAAAAGUUUCAUUACUAACCACAACAACAAUAUGAAAGAAAUUAGAAUGUUGCCGAAUUUAUUUUUUGUAAUUGUUUUAUUUUUCUAAAUUAAUUCGGAUGGGGACGAAGGCAAAUGGAAGAGAACAAUAAAAAUCAUUGGCUCUGAAAAUAUUUUUCUGUAGGAUGCCCUGCCUUCUGAAACCUCCUCAACGUUAAAUCUAUAUAUAUAUAUAUAUAUAUAUAUAUAUAGAGUCAGAGUUCAAAUUUUGUGCUUUAACUGCCGUUGCUUUGUGGAAGUCAUUUCUCCGCACCCCCUUCAUUUCUCCUUCGCAUAUCCACCUCCUGCCUUCAAGUGAUUUUUGUGGGACCAAAAUCUAAUUGUUUCAUUUUUUUUUAAAUUAUCCUCGUUCAAAUCAUAAUUAAUUUUUAUUAUUUUAAAUUUUAUUAUUUUUAUUAAAUUUUAUUAAUUUAGUUAUUAUUAAUUAUUGUUAUUAUUAUUUUUAUUAAUAUUAUCAUUAUUAACAAUUAUUGUUAUUAUUAUUGUCAAAAUUUAUUAAUUUUAUUAUUUUAAAUGUCAUUAUUAUUAUUAACUUUAUUAUUUUAGUUAUUAUUAAUUAUUGUUGUUAUUAUUUUAUUAAUAUUAUCAUUAUUAACAAUUAUUAUUAUUAUUAUUAUUGUUAUUGUUAUUAUCAUUAUUAUCAAAAUUUAUUAUUUUAAAUGUCAUUAUUAUUAUUAUUAUUAUUGACUUUAUUAUUUUAGUUAUUAUUAAUUGUUAUUAUUAUCAUUAUUAACAAUUUAUUAUUAUUAUUAUCAUUAUUAUUAUCAAAAUUUAUUAAAUUUAUUAUUUUAAAUGUCAUUAUAUUAUUAUUAUUAUUAUUGACUAUAUUAUUUUAGUUAUUAUUAAUUAUUUUUAUUUUUAUUAUUAUCAUUAUUAACAAUUUAUUAUUAUUAUUAUUAUUAUUAUUAUUAUUAUUAUUAUUAUUAUCAUCAUCAUCAAAAUUUAUUAAAUAUAUUAUUUUAAAUAUCAUUAUUAUUAUUAUUGACUAUAUUAUUUUAGUUAUUAUUUUUAUUUUUAUUAAUAUUAUCAUUAUUAACAUUUAUUAUUAUUAUUAAUUUUAUUUUUUUAAUUAAUAGCAUUUUUAUAAUAAUAUUUAUACAUGUAUCUAGUUGAUGAAAAUUGCAUUAUUUAAUACUAUGGAUAUUUUGGUAAAUUGAUUCUCAUUUCUAUUCCGCAUUCCCAUUUAUUUUGUCAAGUAAACACAUCAAUGACAUUCCAGCACAUUUCUAUUUCUAUUUAUUUUUGGCAAUCAAACAUUUCAUCUCAUUUUCAUUCCUCAUUCUCAUUCUAUGAAAUAAACGAACCAUUAUUUCUUAAUUUUUCAUUUCCGUCAAAUUUCUAAUUCAGUUAGUCACACAAAUAAAAUUACUUACUUGAAAAUCACUCCCAAAUGUACAAUGAACUUAUUUGUAGGAGCUGGCUGAGUUACAUAUUCUGUAACUUACAGAUCCAACUCCUAUUGCCUGCAUUUACACAGUUUUUCUCUCUCCUCAGGACACGUGUGUUGCUUCCCAUUGGGUGUGUACGUUACAGAUUCUGUAACGUAGGUUGGUCCCUUAUUUGUAAUGUUGUCUAUUAUUAUAGUUUAUCACUAUUAUUCCUAUCAAUCUGAGACUCUCCGUAGCACGCAACUCCCAACCGAUUUAUUUAAACGUGCUGCCAAACAACGACUCGCAUAAGAUAAAGGGAAGAACAAUCAAGAAUCAUCACUCCAUUAUCUAAUUUUUCAUGCCGUAGCCAGAACGCUUUACUAAGUAGCGACUUAAGGUCGAUGGAAGAACAAUCAAGCUGAUAUGACUAGUUUGUCAUUAUUGCUUUUCUUGACUACCACAAGAUCUAUAUCGAGGGAGGUGCUACCUUAAAUUUAAGGUACAGCUCUCUCUAAGAACCACUGCUGUAGGGAGAGUUGUACCUUAAGAUAAACUUAAGGUAGGCAAAACCUUUUGUCGGUGUCUCCAACUUUCAAUUUCUUCAACAUUUAGCUUUCCUGGAAGCAAUUAUACACACUCUACUGAUGCGACAAAAGGUGCCAAAAAAAAAAAAAAAAACUGCCCGUUGCGUCACUGCUUAGGUCAUUCUAAACCUUCAGUUCUCUGUCUGUAGUCUAUCACUUGGUGCAAAAUAGUCAAGUUCUCACGUUUUAGACGGCACGUUAAUCGGACACGCGGCUGAUCCUGUCCUUAACAGGCCAUUUUUAUUAGGCCACCUACCUUAUUACAAUGAAUGUAAAGUAUAUCUUCUUACAAAUUGAGUUGUAGGACUCAUUUGGACCCACAGCCAAUAAAGAGGAUGUACCUUACAAUCAUUGUAAGGUAGCAGCUCCCUAUUAUAUUAGUUACUUCAUUUGUGAAUGUAAUGAGAAAGAACUAAGGCGACGCACCCUCGCAGGAGCUGAAACUUUCAGUCUAUCACAGUCUGAAAAGGCCGUUGACCAUGCAAUCUGCGUACGUUGUUUGUUCUCAAAUUUGAUCGUUUGUUUUCAUUUUUCGUUCAUGUCAAGUUUCUGUAUUUGUACACAAUUAAAUGAUCACUCAUUCGCAGGUUUUGCUUUUACCUGACGCUCUUCAAUAGUUUUAUUCACUCUAGUAUUUGCGAUAUAUCUUUCUGCUUGAUGACCCAAGUUGCAUGUGAACGGAUUAGCUAUUCAUUUUACUUUGUUAAUCAGUCAAAUAUCAUAGACCCCAUCUGUUAUUACAGCAGUGAUUGCUAGGAACAGUUGAGAGUCUUUUCAAACUUUUCCAAACAUGUGUCCAAAUAGAUUGAGCUUGUACGUGAGAUAGCUGGAUUUUAUUUGCUUACAAACCUUUUUUGGGAUUAUUUAAAAAUUACAAUUACUGAUCUGGUUUCGGAUACACGAGAGUUUUUUGCUAUUAUCCAAUUUAUUUUGGUUGGAGCACGUUUUAACUGACACAAAGCCGGAAAUACCAGUUCAAUCUCAGUAACCUCUAUAAUUUGUCUCAAAUACAUUGUGUUUAGUUAUUCAUGUUCUUGGAUUUCCAAUUUCAUUUAUGGCUUAACUGAUAUAAGAAAGCUGACAGGGAUAUGAGAAAUUUUUCUCAAGGAUGGAAGAUUCUGGUAGCCAUUUUUCUGUUGGGAUUAAGCUUUCCAUACUCACAAGGUUAUAAUGUCAAAUCUAAAGUCUUUUUGUCACCUAAGUUUGUGCUGGGGCCAGGAUCCGUUGAGAAUAAAUUUUACUAUGGGAUUGACUUUCCGAGAGGUCAUAUUGCUCUAAAGAGUUUUAAUGCAGAAGUAAUUGAUGAGGCAGGAAAUCCCGUUCCUCUUCACGAGACUUAUCUCCACCAUUGGGCCGUUCAAAAAUACUAUGGACGUAAAGAUGCAGAAUUACUAGAGUAUAAUGGCAACAGACUUCUUCGUGAAUCAGAUUACAUUUCAGCGAGAAAUGAUGGCAUAUGCCAGACGAAUAUUCUUGAGCAGGAUUUUGGCCUUGGCUCUGAGACGCGAGGAACGGCAACGCAUAUUCCAGAUCCUUAUGGAUUAGAAAUUGGCAAUCCUGCUACAAUUCCUGCAGGCUAUGAAGAGAGAUGGUUUCUUAAUGUCCAUGCAAUUGAUACACGAGGUGUCGAAGAUAGGUUGGGAUGCACCGAAUGCAAGUGCGAUUUGUACAAUGUUACAUUGGAUGAGUAUGGCCAGCCACUAAAGCCAAAUUACAGAGGUGGUUUAGCGUGUUGUUACGAUGGUACGCAGUGUAGAUUGUCAAACGGUUUUGAAGGUGCCAGGAGGAGCCUCUAUUUGAGAUAUACCGUAAAGUGGGUUGAUUGGGACACUUCCAUUGUGCCUGUUAAAAUCUACAUAUUUGAUGUCACUGACAAGGAAACACGGUUUAGUGAUUCCACUGGAUUCAGCAUACAGCAUCAUUGCCAGGUAAGUGAAACUCUUUUUACAAAACUCUCCAAGCUGAAACAGAAAUGAAUUUUAUUUGGGACGUUCAGUGGAAUAGCCUUGGCAUUACUUUCUUCAUCUUUAUGGUUCAUUGAACUAGGUUGUUAUAUAAUCAUUUAAUGCUUGUUUUGGUGCAUUACUGGAAAAAUGGAAUUGACUCACUGAUGCAAUGAACACAAAGUUGGAAUCUGCAUAAAGCUAAUCGUAAUUUUCUGGAAAAAUUUCUUCGGGGUUAGAGUCCUCUUUGACGGCAUACUGUUUAAUAUGUGUGUAUGAAAUGACUUGCGUUGAAGAUAUUUUUUGUUUAAUGUGGAGGAGUUUUUAUUAAAUGUGCACAAAUUUAUAGACAUUCAAGAGCACAUAAGCACAAACACUUACUUCAGCCCUUAAAUUUGAUAAUCAAUAGUGUAAACGUUUUGAUUUGUGAUUUUCUUGCAACUCUUAGUGACUUAAUUUCUUCACAAAUGUGGACCCAUCGGAAUAUCUCUGAUUGCAGAUUGAAUAUUCUGUUGAGCCCUGUAAAGCCAGUGAUGUGGCUGAUAAUGGGUGUGUCCACACCAAAAGGACCAGUGUCACGAUGCCAGCCAGUGGUUACAUCAUCUAUGGCGUUGCCCAUCAGCACUCAGGGGGCAUUGGUGCAGCUCUAUAUAGAGAGGUGAUUUCAAUAUCUAAUUUGCAUUCAUGUGGCAUGCCUUUUCUUUUGUCUAUGUUCUACUUUCCAUUGUAAUUUUAUCAUUCUUAUCUGCCAGGUUGGUGGUAAACUGGUGAUGUAUGAAGACGUGUACUAGUACUUGAUCUUUUUAAUUUUCUUGUUAGAUUUUCUUUGAAAGUUAAUGUUUCUUUAGUCUGCAAAAGAAUUGUCAGCUAUGACAGAAGUUACUAUUUUUUGCACAUAAAGAAUGUUUUAAGAUUAUGUAAAUGUUUAUAACAUUAAUUAGAUGUUGAGGACAUGUGAGUGUGACAUUAUCAUAUUUCCAAAUAGACUAUUUUUGAGCUUCUAGUUGCUUGAUUUGUUUGUCAUCCUCAAAGUUUCGAUAACAUUGAUGUUUGAUAUAUAGUGUUAUGGUCCCUCAAAUUGGUUGGAUGUUUUCCCUUUUUGUUUUGAAGAACAAUUCUUCAUUACUCAUUUUAUGUAAUUUGUUCAGAACCCAUUGUGAUGAUUGUGGAAGGAAUUUGAUUCCCUAAUGUCUUCUUUCAUUGAUAUGCUUGUUUUUGGUGAAAUCAGGAUGGACAACUUAUGUGCUCUUCAAUUCCAGCUUAUGGAAAUGGGAUGGAAGCUGGAAACGAGGCUGGAUAUGUUGUAGGAAUGUCGACCUGUUAUCCUAAACCAGGCUCCCUCAGGAUAACAGAUGGGGAAACUCUGAUUGUGGAAUCUAGCUACAGUAGCUCCCGCGAACACACAGGAGUCAUGGGGUUUUUCUACAUUUUGGUUGCAGACAGGGUGCCCGAGUCCAGUUCAUUCUUAGAUGUUUUCAACAAGGUAAGAUUCCCUUUUCAUAUUUUUAGAUAGUGAGUGCAGCAAUACAAGUUAUUAUGCUUGUGAGCACAUGCGAAAAUACGGCAGAUACAAAAAACUUAUUCUAGAAUUGAGUAGGAAUAUUGUCUUGCCUCUUAGAUUAUCAAAAUGGUAUAGAGAAUGGAUUAUAGACAGUCGUUUGAUUAGUGUUGAUGAGAAGAUUAUUAUUUGCGGGAGUAGAAACUGUUUAAUAUGAUUCUUAGGCGAUAAUAGAACUAUAAUCCUCUUCGUGAUUUUAACAAGAAACACCAAGCAUUUGAUAAGUGAUAACUGCCUGGUUUUUGCAGAUGGACAGUGAUAUAAACCAUUCUGCUUUUGUUUGGGGAGCAUUUGUUUUAGCCGGAGUUGCUGUCAUUGCUGCCGCUGUGGGUUACAGGCGUAGGAAUAAGUACGAAGAUGGAUACCAACCAAUUAUGAUCUGAACUAGUUCUUAUGAGGCUUAGCCAUGUGUAUUAGACAGAAAUUAUGUUAGCUCUGUACCAUAUGUUAUUGAAACUCUCGUUUCCCUUUGCUAGACGAGUGUGAAUAAACCCGGGCGACUCACAGUCUGCUGUGGACCAAUGUGGGUUAUGGUCUAGCCCAAUAUUAAUGCCAUUACUGUUGUUAGUAAUUGGAACUGUGUGAUUUAUGUGAUCCUUUGUUGGACUUAUAUGUCCAUUUCUUUCAUUUUCUCUACGACUCCUGUAGCUGGUUGUGUUCAACACUAUGUUGACAUUUGUAAGGGACCUGUCCUAAGUUGAGAAAAUUCAAAGCAUUAUUGGGUCGCUAUUUCCUGUGGCAGCUGCCAAGUUUGAGUAUCUUCGCCUUAGAGGAACCACAUAUGUUACUUUUUUUUUUUUAAAUUUAUUUCAUGUUUUUAAUCUGCAAGUGUGCUAUUUAAUAAUAAGUUAUUUUUAUAUUUUGAACCAAAAAGAAGCGUCAACGAACACCGAAAGAAUUUAUUUAUUUAUUUCUUUAUUUUUAAAGGACGGUAGGUGCUUUGUGUAGUGUGAAUCGUGAUCGCGUUAUCUCGUUAUCCGGUUAUCCUGUCUACCCAGUCCCAUUCGCCGAUAAAAUCGAUCAAACCCCCACGAUCUGCACGUGCCAAUUCCCUGUUCGGUAAUUUCACCAAAAUCAUUGGGCCUUUUCUAUUUUGUCAAAAG
rnacentral:lncRNA from 1 species